rnacentral:lncRNA from 1 species
CCCAACGUUUGACUCUAAAAAAAAGCGAAAAAACAAAAAGGGAGACUCAGCCACUCUUGGAGAGGCCCCUCACACAUGGCCGCGCAGUUUGUUUUCAUUCGAGAGCCUCUACAAAAGAAAUAAAAAAUUGGAAAAUAGAACUGAGUGGGGGGUGAAAUUUCCUCAUUUCUUCGUUUUCUCUCCUCUGCCAUAAGAAUUUUGUUUACUUGUUCACUCGGAUCCCUCCUCAAGUUUCAAAUGACCCUCUUCUUCUUGCACCUCUUGUAUCUUUG